rnacentral:tRNA from 1 species
UGUAAUGUGCCUGAUAAAAAGGGUGAUUUUGAUAGAAUCAAAAAUGUUUUUUACCUUUACAA